rnacentral:rRNA from 1 species
AUACGGAGGAUGCGAGCGUUAUCCGGAUUUAUUGGGUUUAAAGGGAGCGUGGGUGGGAUAUUAAGUCAGCUGUGAAAGUUUGGGGCUCAACCUUAAAAUUGCAGUUGAUACUGGUUUCCUUGAGUACGGUACAGGUGGGCGGAAUUCAUGGUGUAGCGGUGAAAUGCUUAGAUAUCACGAAGAACUCCGAUCGCGAAGGCAGCUCACCGGGCCGGAACUGACACUGAUGCUCGAAAGUGCGGGUAUCAAACAGGAUUAGAUACCCUGGUAGUCCGCACAGUAAACGAUGAAUACUCGCUGUUUGCGAUACACGGUAAGCGGCCAAGCGAAAGCGUUAAGUAUUCCACCUGGGGAGUACGCCGGCAACGGUGAAACUCAAAGGAAUUGACGGGG